GACAUAGGUGGCGAACGUUAUCCGGAAUUAUUGGGCGUAAAGGGUGCGUAGGCGGUUUGGUAAGUCUUAUGUGAAAUCUACAGGCUCAACUUGUAGUCUGCAUGAGAAACUGCCGGGCUUGAGUGUGGGAGAGGUGAGUGGAAUUCCUGGUGUAGCGGUGAAAUGCGUAGAUAUCAGGAGGAACACCUGUGCCGAAAGCGGCUCACUGGACCAUAACUGACGCUGAUGCACGAAAGCUAGGGGAGCAAACAGG
rnacentral:rRNA from 1 species